rnacentral:rRNA from 1 species
CACCGCGGUUAUACGAGAGGCCCCAGUUGAUGGACACGGCGUAAAGGGUGGUUAAGGUUUAGAAUAAAUAAAGCCAAAAGACCUCUUGGCUGUCAUACGCCCCUGAGUGCCCGAAGCCCGCAUACGAAGGUAGCUUUAAUAUUAACCCACCUGACUCCACGAAAGCUGAGAAA